rnacentral:tRNA from 1 species
GUAAAGAUGCCAGAAAAUUAUGGUGUUAAUUUAGAAUUAAUUUAUGACUUUUGUCUCUUUACU